AAUAAGCUCUCAAUGAUUUUAGUCUGACCUAACUCAGCAUGUCAUGUUCAACAGUGUCAAAUGCUGCGCAGAGGUCCAACAAAACCAGCACUGUGGUUCUACCACAGUCUGUAUUUACAUAGAUGUCAUUGAACACUUUGAUGAGGGA